CAUGAGCAGAGUUACUUCUUUUUCCGGUUACUGUGAUUCUACCAGGCCACUAAGAUGGCCUGAACUAAAGAAGCACCUGUAACAGCGGGUCAGGGUGUUUGGGGAUGUUGGUACAGAAGAAGAACAGUUAUGUCUGCCUCGAAUUUACCAGACAGAGCAGGAGGAACGUACUGAAUAUCAAGAAUACUUCAGAGGAUCCUGGAGCAGAGAUGGUACCUCCACAUAACACAGUGCACCUUGAUGAUAUUAGCAUCCACUGCCAAUAAGCAUAAAGGUAAUCAUGGGGAAGGUAAUGCAUUAUCUGGCUGAAAGAGCAUUCAUCCCUCAAUGGAUACUUAAUCAGCAGCCAGGCACUACUGUA
rnacentral:lncRNA from 1 species